rnacentral:lncRNA from 1 species
AUACACAUCAAAUUCCAAACUAAGAAUUCAUAUAAACAUAUUUUCACAUACACAAAACCACCCGCACAAAUCUCACACCCUCCAAAAUCCAAAAUAAACCUUCCUGACAUUCUCAAGUACACACUAACCCAACCACCCAAGAUAACACACGUGUGUGCAGUAAAUUUUAGAUACAUGUGUAGCCUACAAUUUACAAAUAAUAUACCACUACUUUUUAUUUGUAAAUCCCACAUAAGUAAGUGAUUCUCAUGGAAGCUUUUCUUGACUUUGGCCACACUCUUGCAUCCACAACCAACUUGUGCUACCAAGUGAACAAACUACGACUAAAGGCCUGUUCUUCCACUUUGCAGCUGCUCCUAUCAGUGACAAAUCAGCGUAUUAGAACAUGCAUGCUGGCUGAUCAUUCUGAUCAAGUCAACAAGCUUCACAACUUACUCAAUGAGGUCGUCCGUGAGAACUUCACUGUUUUACGAGGACAGGAGCUACUUCUUUGCUGAACUGCAUCACGGUUUCAACUGCUGAGGUUUUCUUCAAGCUUUUGCAUUGUUUGGAAUGUGAAAGGCACGGCCGAGACACACUUUGAGGUUCCCACUGCAUUGUUACACCUCCCCCCUCACUUCAGGGCCAGGUAACACCAAGAAGGACGCCAUGAGAGCGAAGGCCGUUGGGUAACC